CGGAGGCAGCAGUGAGGAAUUUUGGACAAUGGGGGCAACCCUGAUCCAGCAAUGCCGCGUGAGUGAAGAAGGCCUUCGGGUUGUAAAGCUCUUUUGUCAGGGAAGAAACGGUGAAGGCUAAUAUCCUUUGCUAAUGACGGUACCUGAAGAAUAAGCACCGGCUAACUACGUGCCAGCAGCCGCGGUAAUACGUAGGGUGCAAGCGUUAAUCGGAAUUACUGGGCGUAAAGCGUGCGCAGGCGGUUAUGUAAGACAGAUGUGAAAUGCCCGGGCUUAACCUGGGAACUGCAUUUGUGACUGCAUGGCUAGAGUGUGUCAGAGGGGGGUAGAAUUCCACGUGUAGCAGUGAAAUGCGUAGAUAUGUGGAGGAAUACCGAUGGCGAAGGCAGCCCCCUGGGAUAACACUGACGCUCAUGCACGAAAGUGUGGGGAGCAAACAGGAUUAGAUACCCCGGUAGU
rnacentral:rRNA from 1 species